AGGAGCUUUAGGUAUUGCCCUACAUGACUGAUGGCCAUAGAAUUAUGGAGCUGAGGCCUGGUGACAGGAGCCUAGUGUAUGGGAGGGUGGCAACCUUCCUUCCAUCCCUUGAAGAGUUAUCUGCUGGGUCUCCGGGAUUUUAACCUAGCUCAGCCAGACAAGAGGCUGCCUUUCAUGGUCACACAGCUUGCAGAGUAUAUUCCUGUCCAUGAAUACCAGUCCAUAGAGGUGAAACCACAAAUACUAGUUCACAGGGAUGAAGACUCUAGUAUCUAAGUCAGGCUUCAGGGAACUAAGUCAACUCAUCAAACUGGGCAGGGGCAUGACCUGCUUAACUGGACUCUCAGGAUGAAAUGUCUUUUGAAGACAAGAGAACCAUCACAGGAAUAUGGUAGCAAAAAACCUAGAAAAUAACAGUGUACCCAAGCAUCUUUCCAGGACCCUCCCAUGGAUCUGUGGGAGAAUAAAGCGUUCACAUUCUGCCU
rnacentral:lncRNA from 1 species